rnacentral:lncRNA from 1 species
UGAGAUAUCCAUAAGGAGCCUGUAAGUACCAACCUUGUAUUCCCAGCAGCUUCCAUCUUUUUAUUAAAGGUUGAUCAAAAUACUACUCUACCCUUAUAAUUAAAUAAAACAUAAAAACUAAAUAAAUAAGAUUAGGGAAAAGAAAGUAUAAAUGAAAGGAAAAGAAAGGAAAAACCUGAGUUCAUUAUCCCAUUGGUCACUGAACUUAAGUCUGUAUAUUCCACUGUUCACUGAAAUUUAAGAUGUCAAGUUUUGAUUACUAAAUUUGUUCAAAUGUUGGAUGUUAUUAACUCGUAUAACAUUCAUUACAAUCCUUUAGCGAAACUAGUGACGUAGCUAACGAAAUGCAUAUGUGACGUCUAUCACAAUGUUAACAAAUUAUCACGUCUUCAAUUGCUAAAUAUACAUUGAAAACGUCUUCAAUUACUCGCUAAACUUUGAAAAUGUCUUCGAGCUCACUAAAUUUGGGAAAAAGUCUUUGAUAGCUUGUUGAAAUUUGAUAUGGUCGAAUUUUAACCACUAAACUUAUAAAAAUAAUGUCAAUUUAUUGUUCAUUAAAAAAUGUAUACUACAAGUGCAUAGAUCACGUAAAAUUAAUAAAGUAGAUGAACGAGUUCAAGUUUUUGAUUCUACGAGAGAUGAUUAUUCAAUUACAAAAUAAUUAAAUUUAAUUUUAGAAUAUUUUUGUAGAACUUCAAGCUAUUUUCAUUAUUAGAAAAAUUCAAAUUUAUUAUGUGCUUCGUUGUUAAAAUUAAAUUAAAAUUUGAAUUUUCAAGCAAAACACACUAUAAAUUUAAUUAAAUGGAUUGUGUAAACGAAUAGAUCACAAAUUUUUACUCUGUGUUGAAUUGUAAAUUUCAAAUUUUAAUUUAAUUUAAUUGUAUCAACGAAAUGCAUAAUAAAUUCAAAAUUUUCAAAUGAUGAAAAUAGCUUGAAUUUUUACAAAAUAUGUUAAAUUAAGUCCAACUAUUGCGUAAUUGAGUAAUAAUUUUUUGUCAAAUCGACAAUCCGGACUCAUUUGUCCACUUUAUAAUUUUGAUGCAACCCAUGCUUGUGGUACACAUUUUUUUAACUAAUAAUAGGCUGACAUCAUUUUUAUUAAGUUUAAUGACCAAAAUUCAACUACACUUACUUCAAUGAGCUAUCAAAGUACUUUUUUUCAAAGUUUAAUGAGUAAUCAAAGACAUUUUUAACAUAUAGUGAGCAAUGAAAUGCAUUUUAAAUUUUUAAUGGUCAAAAUUUUACCACCUCAAAAUUCAAUGAGAUAUCUUUAAAACUUGAAUGAGUAAUCACAGAUACUUUUCAUGUUUAGCAAGUAAUCGAAAACGUGGCAAUUGUUAAUGGUGUGACAGGGUGCAUUUCAUUAGCCACGUCACCAAUUCCGUUAAAAGUUUAUAAUGAAUGUAAUACGUGUAAGUAACGUUCAACGUUUAGAUAAAUUUAGUAGUUAAAAUUUAAUAUCUUAAAUUUCAGUGAGUAUUUGAAGACACGGACACAUGUUUAGUAACCAUCGGGAUGAUUUACUCGAAAAGUCUAUAUAUUUUGAAGAUAGAAAUACCAUAUUUUUUCUAUAACCCCAUACCAACCUCUCUCUCUCCUUCUUCUUCUUCUUGCUUUCUUUCUUUCUUUUUUUUUUCUCGAUAAAGUAGAUGGGAAAGAUAAGUGUACAAGAUGUAUCCGUCCAUCAACUUUAUUUUCAUUUCAUUUUGUAAUAUCUAUAAUAUUUUUAUUUUAAAUAAAAUUAAGGGUAAAACUGUCAUUUUACAUAAAAUUGAAAGAUUAGGAGCUAAAUGGUCAUUUUCAAAGGUUGAGGAGCAAUAUGCAACACAGGUCAAAGGCUUGAGACGUCCUCUACUAUUUUACUUAACUUUAAAUAAUAAUAUUUUGGGACUAAAUGUGUGAUUUACACUUAUCUAGUGGGAAGGAAGAGAGAGGUGGCGUCGCAGUCGAACGAUCCAAGGCAACCAUCGAUUGCGAGGUCGUACAAGCCGUCGAUUGUGGCCCCGCAAGACCUACUCGUUGAUUACUCCGGCUUUAUCGCUGUCAUAUUCGAUGUUUUUUGCGCCAUGUUCUGGGUUCGCAUGUUCUCUUAGCAUACAUCAAAAGUUUGGAUUCAAUUAUUGGUAUUUUGGAAACUUGUCUUUAUAUUUUUAAUGAUUACUUAGGUUUUAAUUUCUCAUAGAAACAUGAAUUUCACAUUGUUUCGCGCGGGUAGUCGCUAACAAUUAAAAAGGGAUAGACGAUUGAGUAAGGAACAAACCUCUCGAGACAAAGUCCCAACAAGGAGUGUUUUAUUGGCGAUUGAUUUACAAUUGAAACUAAACAGAAUGCCUCCAAGGGGCGCAAGCACACGAGUACUGAAAAGAAAUGUUUGAGUCUAAAUUAAAAAAUUGAAAUUACAUAUUCUCUGUUUGAGAGUGUUUGAUUCAGGGUCUCUCUGCUCUAUGUCUUCUCUUUCUUUUAUAUUCCCUUGAUGAUUUCUUCGUGAUCAACUACUUAGAAACUGCUUGAUUGCUUAUAACUACUCACUUUCUUUAUGGUGGCUAACUUGUCGUGGAACUGCCGUCUCUAAAUGCCGCCACUACUCUUUGUCAUUCAAUCGUCUUCAACUGAACUCAUUGAAUCGCGGAACGUGAUAAGGUUACUCAAUAGCUGUUUCAAUAAUUGCACUUCUGGAUAACCAUAACAUUCUUAUGUUUGCUAAGAUCCUAGGCGAUUCGAAGGUUUGGACGAGAACAUGGUCAUAGCUCUGGGCGACUGUAAGGCACUUCAUUCGCUUAGAUUUUGGGCGUCUUGCAAGUUUGGGCGAUAAUGUUACCGUGUUCGUAGGGUUCCACUGCAUUCGUUAAUAACCCUAUCUGGGCCUUUAUCUUGAAUUGUCCAGUUGGGCUUCAUUCUUUGGGCUAUUCGAUUUGGGUUGCACUUUUAGUGUGUCAAUAAUUACCCCCCAAUAUGGCAGAAUUAAUACUAAUUAUUAAUCUUUGCCAUAUUUACUUUGUGUUUCCCAGCAACAUUUGAAAUUUCCAAGAAUUUCAAUCAUUAUUUCCUUCUAUAGCCUGAAAAAGUGCAACGCCACAAACCCUUAUAAACCCCAAAGACAAGCCAUUUCGUUGUACCACUAAAUCAUGCCUCAUUAUUUUGCGCUUCUUUCUCGCCAUACCACUGUUCAUCUUCUUGCUUCUCUGCUACGUUUCUCAAGCAAACUUUAACAAAAUUGUAUUUCAUCCUCAAUGGCUGAUCCACAAACUCAAUCUAACGAUUCCUUUAGCUUCGAAAAUUUCGAAAAAAUCCUCACUCAGCCAUAUGUAAACCCGAACUUCCUUACACCAGCCAAUGCCGAACUUAAUGAGUUCUAUCUAGGUCCUUCAUUUAACAACGCCAAAGCCGUCGAACAAGUGGCGGUGGGCCGGCUGUUCCCUUGUACUCGAGACCCUCCAUUCCUGAACUCUUUGCCGCUGAGGCCGAUUUGCGAAAAAGGUAUUCGCACGUGGCCUAAAUCUGACGUUGUUUUCCGUAGAUGGCAUGCUCGCCUUAUGAGCCAUAGUCCUACCAAGGCACGUUUUGAUCGUGCUAGGAUUUCUAAUUUAUUAGAAAUCUCUCUUCAACCCCCAAUUUUUGACCCAGCACUUUUUCCUAUUGCUUUAAGUUUUUGGUCUUCUGAAUAUACUACUUUUGUUUUCCCUCUUGGUCCCAUGUCCAUUACUUAAAGGGAUGUUGGGGCCCUGAUAAAUCUUCCACCUUUGGGCGACACCAUUUUCCCUGGUAUUUUAAUUUUCGGUGUUGCCCCAAAAUUUGAUAAAAUACUCACCGAGUCCUAUUCAAGCCUGCAAGGCUGUUAUAAUCAUUCAAGCGCUGAGUCUUCCCACAAUGAGCAUAUGGCUUUUCUUCAGAUUUGGCUUUAUAAAAAUAUUCUGUGUGUGCCCAGUAUAAAGCCUUCUAUGAGCUAUUUACCCAUAGCCCAUAAAUUGGCGUGUGGUACGCCUUUGAAUUUGUGUUCUUUCUUUUUGGCUACCCUCUAUAGAGACGUGGCUUCUCUUCAAUUUCAAUUGAAGAAUGGUGCAUCUCCCACUGGUAGUGGGCUUCUUUGGUUCACUCAACUAUAGUUGAGAGCCUAUUUUCCAUCACUUGGUGCUCUGUCCAUGUCCUUUCGUUCUACCAGCUGCUAUGGGCUAGCUAUUGACGCAUUGAGCCUUGUAAAUAUGUCCAGAAGGGACAUUUUUUCAUUCUUUUAUACUUUAAAUUCAAUUCCUUCCUUUUUUUUCCUUUUCCUGCUCAUUUAACUCCUGAUUAUGUGCAACCUCCAUCUACCCUGGACAGUGCGAGCGCCUCUCUGCUCGUUUGGGUUCAGUUUUUGACUAGGAGGGAGUUGUUCCAUGAUAUUUUAACUGGAACCAAUGCCAAAGCUAGGGUUGAAAUAUACACUCCCCAAUUUUUUGCUCACCAAUUUGGUUUUAGCCAAACUUGGCCUGUUCCUCCUUGUUAUUCAAAAAAAUUGAUAGACCACUUUCACACCAUUAAUAAGGUAGAGGCACAAGCUAUAGAUACUCCCAAUAUUCUUUUGAUGAGUAACUUUUCAUUAACCCCCUUCAAUCCUAGUCGUGCCGUUUACCCCCUUUUUGAACAACUCUAGCUAUCAGUGAAGCGCAAAUUGUUUGCCACUGAUGUCAAUCGUGCUUUUCAUUCACUGGAUCAGCCAAACAUUCCUUCCACUUCUCCUAUUUUGGUCACCCCUGUGUCCAUUAGGAAUCUUCCCUCACCUGCUCGUGCUAAGCAAUCUAUUCGUUCCUCCACUUCUCUACCUGCCAGACCUACUGCAGCUAAGAGUGCCCCAAGCUGCAAACAGCCAGCUUCAGCAUCUCCCAUUUUGGAGAAUGAUGAUGAUGACACUCCUCUCAUCAUCAGAAGAAAAGUAAUUGAAUUCUGUUUACUCACAAGCAUACCUUUCUAUGUGCUAAUGGUUUUCUUGAAUUUCUCAGAAAAGUUCAGCCUCUCCUUUGAAGGCUUUGGUGUUGGCAGCUCCUGCUGGAGUUAUUUCGUCCAAACCAGCUGAUGAAUGGACUACGUUUAAAAAGAACCCUUCAGUCCCGGAACCUUCAUCACAACCAAUGAACGAGCCAACUUCUUCCCAGGGCGCCGACCCCCCAAACGUCGAGCCAGAAGUAAUACAUUUUUUGAUGUCUUACCUUUGCUUGUACUGUUGGUUCCUGAUUUGUUGCUUCUUUAAUCAUGCAGAGGCUCCUAUGGGUCUGCCCGUUAUGGCAAAGUCUUCUCGCCUAGACAAGGGGAAGUCUCCACAGGUGGUGGAGCCAACUGGUGAUAUGCCACCUCCCAAAAUUGCUGAUGAGGUACCCUUUUACUUCACUUUUAUUUUCACUUUGUUCAUUAUAGUGGAAACCUUCAAUGUUGGCAUUUUUCUUUGCAGGAUGCUGAUGAGAUCGUGCAUUCCAUCCGGGACUUGUUCAAUUCCUGGGGGCAAGUCAAAACGUCUCGCCCUACUUCAACCGGUCGUCCUUCUGCUUCUUCAGAGGAAGAUAUGAAGUUCCUUAAGCAAUCGAUAUUUGAGUAUGUAUCUUCUAUAGACAUGAACAUCGGUCAGGCUAGUGCUGCCAAACAUAAGGAUAAGCUUGAGCAUUUGAGUGGGCGCAAGCACUGACACUUUCGUCGCUUAAUAUUUCUGCUGAUUUUAAAGAGACGUUGAAAGUUGUCCAUUCUGACAUCUUCUCUUUGCUGGCCAAAAAUGUUGAACUGAAGGCCAAGAGUACUCAAUAUUUUCGUGCUGCAUCUGAAAGAGAGUCUUUGCUUCUGGAGAUCAACAAAGCUGAAGAUGAAUUGAAAGAAAUCUCUUCCGAAGUUAUGAUUGAAGACUCUUUGAUGACCAACUUGGCUGCACAGAUGAAGGAGCUUCAAGCAAGGAUGGAUGACUGCAAGGCGAGAAUGGCUGCUAAAAAACAUAAUGCUUCCUAAGGAAUUGAGCGAACCAAGUUUUUGGUCGAGCAGUACAAGAAGCUGGAGGUUGAUGAUGAUUUUGUAGCUGAAUUGAAUGUCACUUUUUCUCAGCAGAGCGAGGAUUGGGGGAGACUUAGGGAAAGAAUUCGUUCGAUCUGGGGCGAAUUGUAAUUAGAACAUCUAAUGCCUUAACUUUUCUUUUUGUAACUUCAUAUUGACUUUUCUCUUGUAACCUCGUACUGAUAGCCAUUGCCAAUUUUGAAUGUAACAGCAGCCAUUGUCAUUAAUGAACAAUUAAUUUGUCUUCUUGUGUAUUUAUUGACAUUUGUCCUUAAUCGUCAACCCCCAAGUAGGUAUUUCUGUCUCUUUUCCCAAGACUUUGGGCCGCUUGACUCCAAUUACUAGGUACGAACGUGGCGGUUCAUAUUUUGUCUCUUCACUUUCAUGCCCCUAUAAAUGCACGUAUAUCUCGCACUUUUCAAUUUCAUUUCCAUUCUUUUCUUCAAAAACUAAUUUGCUGCCAUCGUUUGGCAUCUCAAUUAUUGAUCCAAAAUUUUCGUCUUCCAUAGAGAUGGAUUAUUUGAUCCACCCAUUUUGCUGCCUGUUUUGAUGUCACCUUUGGUAUGGGAGAUAUAGGAAAUAUUUUUUGGCCAAUAAAGUUCUUCCCAUCGUCAUCAUGUUCUUUACAAGGAGUUCAAUGAUGGAAGGCAAUUUUUGAGGAUGCCUGUCAAGCAACCUUGCUUGCUGAGAGUGCUUCUCAGUCUCCUUGCCUGUUAUUGCAGCGAUGCAUUUAGGUAGGCGAUGUGAGGGUGCUUCUCUUCCCUCCUGCUUGUUGAGAGUGCUUCUCGGCCUCUUUGCUUGCCUUUGAAACAGUGCGAUCAGGAUGGCAACCAAGGCCAAUUCACCCUCUUACUUGGUGAUCGACCGAGAGAUUAGUUUGCUCUCAAUUGUAGCUUAUAGAGCAUUUAGUAUUUUGUAUCUUGAAACUUUGUAAUGAACGUUUGAUAGUAAAGGAAUUUAUUUAAACGUAUUUCGCUCUGGCCUUUUUUAUCUGCGAUUGUUCAACGCGAUUUGAUUACGCUUUUAUUUAUUCACUUUCUCAUAAGGAAGGAACAUAUUUUUUUAAAUAUUUGCCAUUAAUGAACCUCAUGUGCUUGGUGGCACCUAAAUCUUCCAAAUGAUAGGCUCCAUUAGGCAACACACUAUUUACUUUAUAUGGCCCUUCCCAAUUGGGCGACCACUUGCCAUAUAUUGGGUUUUUGCUAUCCAAAGGAAGUAUUGUUUUUCAAACCAAUUCGCCCAGGCUAAAUGACUUGGCUAUAACUUUUUUAUUAUAAAACUUAGCCAUCAUUUGUUUUUGAACUUGCAAUCUAUCUAGGACGUCCAACUCCAAUAAGUUCUGAACUAGUGAUUCGGUAUACUCAUCAUCACUUAACUUAUGUUGUAAACACACUCAGAUCGAUUGUACGUUAAUUUUCAUAGGCAAAAUGGCCUCCUGUCCAUGAGUAAGUUGGAAAGGAGUAAUUUUGGUACUUGACCGAGGCGACGUUCUAUAAGCCCAUAAGGCCUUGUUUAAAUAUUCGUGCCAAUUUCUGGCAUUUUCAUCUAUCAUUUUCCUUAUGAUAUUUUUUAAAAUCUUAUUAGAAAAUUCUGCUUGUCCGUUGGAUUGAGCGUAAUAUGGUGUGGAGUUUACUAAUUUAACUCCAAACUCGCUCAAAAAUUUAUUCACUUGAUCUCCAUUUAAAGAAGUUCCGUGAUCUACCAUCAAAGUUUGUGGAAUUCUAAAUCUAUAAAUAAUAUGAUCACGGAUAAAUUUUAUGACACUCUUUUGGGUGAUCUCCUUUAAAGGUAUCGCUUCUACGCACUUAGUGAAAAAAUCAGUUGCAACUAUAACAAAGGUAUGUUACUUAGACGAUGGGGGGUAUAUCUUCCCUAUUAAGUCUAUCACCCAACCUUUGAACUGCCAAGGUUUGAUGAUAGGUGUCAUCUCUCUUGCUGGCGCUCUUUGUAUUGGACCAUGUUUUGGCAUGCUAAAAAACUCUUUGCAUAUUGAACACAUGAUUCUCCCAUCUUGGGCAAAAAAUACCCAUUCCUAAUAAUUAAUCAUCUCAUCCUUUGGCCAGUUUGAUGAGCUCCACAUAUCCCUUCGUGCACCUCCGCCAUGAUUAUUCUGGCUUCUUGCAAACUUACACAUUUUAGCAAUAUACCAUUAGAGCGUUUCUUAAAUAACUCCUCAUCUAUCAGUGUAUAGUUUAGCAAACGCAACUUCAUUUUUCUAUUAUUUCCUUUAUUUUGUUCUUUAAGGAACCUUUUAAUCUUUGCCCUACAAUCUAUUGCAUCUCCAUCAUGUAUGCAAUGAAUUUCAAUCAUUCUCGUCCUUCUUUGGACUACGGGCAAUAUUACUCCAUAUUCAUAAGUAGCUUUCCAAUUUAAAACCUUUGAGUACCCUGAGGCCAUCUGGGCCAACACAUUUGCCACGUCAUUAUAUAUCAUAUUGACGCAUUGAAGCUCUACUUGGUCGAAUUCUUCCAACAACUCCUGGGCGAUUUCAUAUUGACUUAUAAUGGAAUCACUUUGGCAUUUAAAAUCACCAAUCAAUUAGUGAAUUACCAAUUGAGAAUCGUCUCUAACAAUCACAUUCUUUAUCCCCAUAUCUAUCAUUAAUUCUAGGCCCACGAUUAAGGCUUCAUAUUCGACUUGAUUGUUGGUACACAUCCUAUCUAAAGUGAAUGCGAACUUGUAACAAAUCUCUAAAGGAUUUAUUAAUGUUACUCCUACUUCUGCACCUUUAGAAGUUUUUGACCCAUUGAAAUAUAAAACCCAAGGUUUUAAUUCAAAUGAAUUGAUUUCUAAUUCAAUUUCUUCAGACACGUCAAGGCAUGGAUGAUCGGCCAGAAAGUUAGCCAAAGCUUGAUUUUUGAUUGCCUUUUGGGGUAUGUAUUGUAUUUCGAAUUCUGAUAAUGCUAACGUCCAAAGGCCUACCCUUUGGGGUAAAAUGGGGCGAGAGAACAUAUACUUAACCAAAUUUACUCUAGAAAUUAAAUAAAUUGUUACUGGCCGUAAAUAAGCCCUUAAUUUUGUACACGUGAAAUACAAUGCAAGACAUAAUUUUUCAAUGGCAGAGUAAUUACAUUCACAUUUUGUUAACCAUCUACUCAAGUAGUAAAUUGCCCUUUCUUCACCAAAUUGGUCUUCUUGCGCGAUCAUUCCAGCUAUUGAUUCUUGUUCAGCCGAUAUAUAUACUUUCAUUGGCCGUCCUUGAAUUGGUGACACCAACACUGGUGGACUUGAUAAAUAUGUCUUUAGACUUUCAAAAACCCUUUGAUGCUCUCCUUUCCAAAUGAAUUCGUCCUGAUUUUUCAACUUUAAAAGUGGCGAAAAAGCUUUGGUUCGCCCUGCACAAUUAGAAAUAAAGCGUCUUAAAAAAUUUACUUGGCCUAGAAACCUUUGCAAUUCCUUUUUAUUGCUAGGUGAUUUGGCCUCUAAAAUAGCCUUUACUUUAUUUUUAUCAAAUUCAAUCCCCCUUUUGUGUACUAAGAAACCAAGGAAAUUUCCUGCAUUAACGCCAAAUGCACAUUUCAAAAGGUUUAAUUUUAGUUUAUAUUACCUCAUUCGCUCAAAUGAAUAUCUCAAUUGUUCAAAAUGGUCCUCUUCUUUAAUGGAUUUGACCACUAUAUCAUCUACAUACACCUCAACAAACUUGCCUGUCAUAUCAUGAAAAAUCAAGUUCAUUGCCCUUUGAUAAGUUGUUCCUGCAUUUUUUAGGCCGAAGGGCAUAACUACCCAUUCAAAACAUCCUAGAGAUCUAGGGCAUCUAAAUGCAGUUUUGUGUAUAUCUUUCUCAGCUAUAUAAAUUUGAUUGUAUCCCGAAUACCCAUCUAUGAAGGAAUAUAUUACGUAUCCAGCAGUCGAAUCUACUAAAGAAUCUACCAUAGGCAUUGGAUAUUCAUCCUUAGGUGUGGCUAUAUUUAAAUUCCUAAAGUCUAUGCACACCCUUAAUUUACCAUUCUUUUUUAGCACUGGCACGAUAUUGGACAACCAAUUCACAUAUCUGACUGUUCUAAUAAAGCCUACUUUUAAUAAUUGCUCUAUUUCUUUCUUAAUCUCCGGAAGUACAUUAGGAGCAAAAUGUCUAGGAGGUUGCUUAUGAUGCUUAAAAUUUAGUUUGGUUGGCAAUCUAUGUUCUACUAAAUCCCUAUCUAAACCAGGCAUAUGUUCAUAUUCCCAAGCAAAACAACCCUUAUACUCUUUUAAUAAAGCGAUUAAUUUAUCAUUAACCUCUUGAUCGAGCAUCUGACUGAUGAAGGUAGGGCGAUCUUCCCCUUCAUUGCCAAUAUUCACUUUAAUCAGAGGGUCUUGUACUUGAGCGUAUCCAGGCUUGGUGAUCCCCAUUACUUCAUCAUCCAAUUCCGUUAUAUGCACUUCUUCUUCUAAACAAUCCACCUUGUUGACUUCUCGGCCAAUAUUUUGUUCCAACUCGAGCACUGCCAAUUUGUCUCUCAAUGCUUUCAAGGCUGCUUCUUCUUUCGUCUUGUCCUUGCAUUCUUUAUUGAAAGUUAUUAAUUUGGCUUUGAAGGCCUGAAUAUCGACCAUUUGCCUUUGUUGCUUACAACUCAUUUAAAACUCCUUGAUUACUCUUUUGCCAAUUACUGGCUCUUCCAGGGUCAUUAUGUUUGGCCUCAUCUGACCGAUCACUUCAGUGAGUGCAUCCACCGAAAACGGCUCUUCACUCUGUGUGAUAAUUUGAGUUUCUUCUCCAUCUUGGACUACUCUGAUAGGUCCAUAAUUUCCUUCGUACAUGAACCUUUCUACUGAGUUUGCUUCUGCGACAAAAAGUCUAUGAUCGACCUGCAUGACUUCUGCUUCACCUUUGUCAUUCCAGAAAACCAGGCAUUGAUGGAGCGAUGAGGGUAUACAGCAACUUCCGUGUAUCCAAUCCCUUCCUAAUAACACAUUGUAACUAGUAGGACCAUCUAUUACAAAGAAAACUGUGGUCCUAGUAGUUGUCCCUAUAGUUAUGUCCAAUGGCAUAACCCCUUUAGUUGAAGUUGCUCCUCCAUUGAAACUCGUAAGGACGACUUCUGUUGGAAUCAUAUCGCUUUCUGUCUUUGUAAAUUUCUUCAUCAUCCUAGAUGGAAUGGUGUUUAUAGGUGCUCUAUUGUCGACAAGCACUUUUGCCACAGGUAUGCCGUUAACUAGAGCUUUAACGUACAAUGGCCUCAAGUGUUUAGUUAACUUCAUGGCUGGCUGCUUAAAAAUAACCUUUUCAGCAGCAUCUAUUUCCACUUCCUGCUUGUCCUCUGUCGAGUUAUCCUUUUGUGAGAAGUCAACGUGCAGCAUGUCGUACUGAACUUCCGUUUCCUAUAUUUCCUUUUUACUGUUUUCUAAUACUUCUUCUUCAGUUACCCAACCUGUGGGAGGAGGCAUUAUUCUUGGAGGUGAUCCAUACUUUUCAGAGCGGGAACUCUCUUUUUCCUUUUGGGCAUCCCAUACAGCACGUAAUAAUCGAAAGAACUCCUAAACGGCUCCCCCAACAAGUCCACUUCACGAACCCCCUCUCGAUGUAGUUGUUUCAACAGAGUAUUGUACGAUACUCCUCUUUUUCUUCUUUCUGCUUUCAAAUCAAUUUCCUCUUCGAUAUCCAUCAUACCAUCAUCUCCUUCAUCAUCGUAGGCCCCUCUAGAAGUUUGGCCUUCUUCAUAUUCCAGCACGCAUGCUUCUUCUUCGUUAUCCUCCCCCUCUUCUUCUUCUUUCUUUUUAUUCUUGAACUCAUUGGCUAGCAAAUAGUUAUUAGCCAUGACAGGAGGUAACGUACCGAACUGAAUAGUAAGGGACUGAUCUGGAUAUUCUCCAUCUCUUCUGUCUCGCUCAAACUUUGACCUCCCAGAAGAACUUUUUGGAAAUUCUUUCAUCGAUUCACCUGUACCGGUCUCUACACUGUCUUCGAGAAUAUUUUGAUUGGCCACCUCGAGUAGCUUAAGCGCCUUAAGAUGUGGCAUUCCCUAUUGUUGCCUCAUCAUUCGUCCAUAGUUCCAUUGAAAACGCCUUUGUUAGGUUCUAGUCAUCUCGUUGAAGGGUAUCGCCCUUCCUACAUUAUACUGGAAUGAAUACCAUACAUUUGGUUGGCGAGGCUGCGGCCUGAAUAUUCUCCCAUUAUUCACUGGCUUGAACUACCUCUCAAAAGGCGGUCCCCUAUAGAACGAUGUACCUCGCCCUCUACAAGGUUGAGCGUUUGGGAAAAAACUAGGGCGACGGUGAUGCUGCCAUAUCCCUAGUUUCUCUGUAUUCCCACUCACUUCUUUUUUACAUCUUGCACACAGGACGUCUUCAUCAUUUUCAGGCUAUUUCCCUUUAAUACAUUCAAAGACACUGGGAUGUGGUCCAGGGUCCUCUUCCUCAUCAUCUAUAACUGACUUGAAUUUUGGCAACUUGUUUUUGAAACCAGUCGUCACGAUGUUCACCCCAAGUGGCUGUGGAAAAAGGGUUUUCAUCCACUGCCAUCUUCCUCUUAUCAUUGAACGUAAUUCGUCCUGAUUCUAUGGCAUCCUGUAACACAUGGCGAAAAACCAAACAGUUAUUAGUCAAAUGUGACCAUACAUUAUACCACUUACAAUAUUUUUGACCCUUAACAUGUUCAGGGUUUGACAAUUUAUGUUUAUCGCUCAACUUUAUCUGCUUAUCCUUAUAUGGUUUAUCAAAUAUGAGGUCAGCUUUGGUUACAUCGAACGAGAAUGUUCUAGCCUUUUUAUUUUCAUCUUUUAUAGGCUCAUCCUUACCCGACGGUCUAGGCUUAGCCAUUAUAGGACAAGUGUACGUGUCUCCUUUGAUUAGUUUGGCCAAACACAUUUUGGUUUGAUCGUAAUACUCAUCAUUAAUGGUAUGAACAUCAAAAUUUGGGUCUCUAUAAUAAGUCCAUUUGCUAGAAUUUUUCAUUUGCUCUUCUUCUCUUAUUAAUCGUUCAUACCUAAUCACAUUCGCGCUCAAUUGCAAAAGAUCGAGAAAUUCCUUGUCUUGCAACUUCUUUUUCAAAUCAAAGUUUAGACAACCUUGAGCGAUUUUGACAAACUCCUUUUCGGGCAAAGGUACAAAACAUUUACUUCUUGCUAUCUUGAACCUUUGAAGGAAACCUUCUGCUCAUUCAUUUGACAUUUGACGUAGAUUCGUCAAAUCGACCAAAGUAACUUCGGACUCAGUCUUAUAAAACUGAGCGUGGAACAAUUGCUCCAAUUGUUGCCAUUUUGAACAGAGUUCACUGGCAAAUUGAUGAACCAGUAGAAAGCUACUCCUGUUAAUAAACUAGGGAACAGCCUCAUUUUAUGGUAACCAGUUACCUCACCACUUUGCAGCAUGAAUCACCCUAUGUGUUCUCGAGUAGACACCUCUCCUAAACCGAUAAAUAGUGAGAAUUCUGGCACUUUAUACCCUCUAGGCCAUGGAUAUACUUGAUCUACCCAAUCAGAAUAUGGCUUGUGUAAGUCGGCCUAAUGAUAGGACGUACCCCAAAAGCCAUCUGAUCCUGUACUAUUUCCAUAAUUUGAUUCCUCAACAUAACGUUGGGGUCAUAUGGAAUUCCUACAUGUUGGUUGACGGGUUGAUUUGCUAGGGGCCUGAUAUUUGGUCCUUGGUUGGCAACAAAGUUUCCAUGAUUUGGGUCAUUGUUACCAUUAGUCUGAAUAUUUAUUCCAUCAUUAACACGUGGGGCAUUAUGUCAAUUAUUUAGGACAUUGUCUCUUAUGUUUAGGUUAGCCCCUAAGUUAGAUGUACCAUUGCCACUAUUCUGAUUUGGCAUUACACCAUCCCCUGAUUUGAAGUAGAGAGACCAAAAGGUGGUUCUACCCUUUGAUUUGGACUUAAGAUUGGGGAAUUAUGUCCCACAAUUGUCCUAAUUUGAAAAUGAUUUGCAAGAGGCACAACUGGCUGACAAAUUUGGCCUACCAACUUAUUCAUUAUUUCGUUCAAAGUAUUCAGUUGUUUGGCCAUGUUGUCAUAAUGUGCAUUCCCACUUUGGGUAAAUCUUUAUAUAUUAUGAAUAUUUCGUAGAUUUAUCUGUUCAAUGACAUCCCGUGUGAGUUCUCCAAGUAAUGCACGCAUGUUUCGAGGACUCAACUCUGUCAUUGGUUCGUAACGACUGUGACUGUUCUGACUUUGUCCAUCUGUUCAUGGAGAGCUAUGCUGCUCCUCAUAUCGCUCGACCACAGACUGGACUCCUCCCUGACUUGCUUCCUUAUCAGAUUUCUGAGGCAUAUUGUUUCACCUUUUGUAUCUUCAACACCAAACACCAAUGUCCCACUGGGCGUGCCAAAUUAUUUCGCGCGGGUAGUCGCUAACAAUUAAAAAGGGAUCAGACGAUUGCAUAAGAAACAAACCUCUUGAGACAAAGUCCCAAAAAUGGGUGUUUUAUUGGUGAUUAAUUUACAAUUGAAACUAAACAGAAUGCCUCCAAGGGGCGCAAGCACACGAGUACUGAAAAGAAAUGUUUAAGUCUAAAUUAAAAAAUUGAAAUUACAUAUUCUCUGUUUGAGAGUGUUCGAUUCGGGGGUCUCUCUGCUCUAUGUCUUCUCUUCCUUUUAUAUUUCCUUGAUGAUUUUUUCGUGAUCAACCGCUUAGAAACUGCUUGAUUAUAUUACAACUACACACUUUCUUUAUGGUGGCUAACUUGUCGUGGAACUGUCGUCUCUAACUGCUGCCACUACUCUUUGUCAUUCAACCGUCUUCAACUGAACUCCUUGAAUCGCGGAACGUGAUAAGGUUACUCAAUAACUGUUUCAAUAACUGCACUUCUGGAUAACCAUAACAUUCUUAUGUUUGCUAAGGUCCUGGGCGAUUCGAAGGUUUGGGCGAGAACAGGGUCAUAGCUCUGGACGACUGUAAGGCACUUCAUUUGCUCAGAUUUUGGGCGUCUUGCAAGCUUGGGCGAUGAUGUUUCCGUGUUCGUAGGCUUCCACUGCAUUCAUUAAUAAUCCUAUCUGGUCUUUAUCCUGAAUUGUCCAGUUGGACUUCAUUCCUUGGGCUAUUCGAUUUGGGCUGCACUUUUAGUGUGUCAACACACAUGCUAGUAAAUGUGUUGUGAUGACGAUUAAGUUUUUGAGGUAUAAUUAAUUGAUUUAUCGUUGGAUUUAUUCAGUACACUCUGUGCUUGUGGCUCGCGAUUAUAUUCUGUGCACAAUCGCUUGCUAACAUGAAGAAUGUUGAGAAAUGAGAAUGAUCUCAAGCAGAUCUCUAUGGCCAUGAUGGAAGCUACAACUUUUCAAGAACUCGUUUACACUUGUGCAUAUGUAAAUAUAUGCAGACAUCAAUUUUAUGAUCCAUAGAUGGUUUGAAAACUUUGGUCCCCUUGUUUUGGUUUCAGUUUAACAAGUAUGACUCAAAUAUAUGAUUCAUAGCUGCAACAUUUGAGAAUUUUAGAUCCUCUCCCAUUCGGGGGUGCUAGAUUGAUGAUGGAAGAGGGGAUUUUUCUUCUAAAUUUUUGGGAAAUACUACACAAAUCUGGAACUGGGAACUUGUAACAUUCUAUAUUUCUAUCUCUCUACAUGUUGCCGAAUUCCCAAUCUUAAGCCUUCAGCUCAAUGUUCUUUCAUUAGGAGUAUUAUGGGCUUACACUUGUGCAUCUAGCAUCUUUCAUGCUGCUUUAUCAUUAUAAGUUUCUUGAGGCCAACCAAGAGACAAUUUUCGGUUAAAACUAACUGCUUGUUACUGGCAUCAAUGAACUUCCUAUUGUUUUCAGCAAUUAUAUCUUCAAUGUAAAGCACUAGAAUCACUAAAGAACCUCGAAUCUUCUACACCACGGCUAGGUACUUCACGCAUUAUUGUAAGAACUAGCGUUUGAACCCCACGUGCACACUCACACAUCUUCCAAAUCCUCUUUAAGGAAUGCAAUUUUAACUUCCAUUCAGUGCAUUCUGGAUCCUUAUUCUUAACAAUUGAAUUUGGUAAAAUAAGUCGGACCUAAUUACAGACAGUGAGGCUGCUUGAUAAUCAAUUCCCUCAUUUUGGUGGAAGCCCUGGGCAAUAAGAUGAGUCUUUCAGCUUUAUCCCUAUUAUUAGAUCUAACAGUCUUAGAUCUUCAAGAUAGUUUACUGAUCGUCUUACAGAUGGGCUAUCUCUUCUCAUGCUUUAUUCUAUUUCUUACUAGCAGGUUUAGGCUCUUGGUCAUCACUAGAAGCUUUCACAAAGACAUUCCCUUUUUCUCAAUUAAACAAUAUGAGAUCCUAAUAUAGCUUUAUUUGAAUUCUUCUAUACAUAGUUCCACUUGAGCUCAUUCGCUGUAUCCAUAACUCAGUAAUUCACAGAUGCUAUGAAAUAAUAUUUUGUUCCUUAACUAGUUGAGUAAGUGCAACAAGAUUUAUAUCUUCCAGUUUUUAUGGUUUGAUACCUUCACAACAUCACACUAGGAAAGUCCUCUUCUAUCUGGCAUCACAUAACUGAUUUUUAUUAUAAUCUUUCAUCCUCUCCACCAGCAGUAAGCACAUAGCUCUUGCAAGGAUAAGACCAUAUGAUAAAUAUAUGUUUUUAUUUCUCUCCCUCUAAUCCUUCAUGUUCUCAUGAAAAGGCCCGUGAAUAUUGCUGAACCACGUGGCUGCAAAUUUAUAAAAUUAGGUUUUACAUCGUUAUAUAUUACUUUUUUUUUUUAUAGGAAAUGAAUUAUUAGAACAUCGUUAUAUGUUACUCAAGGAGUGGAAGAUACACAUUUUAAGCGCAUAAUUGAAAAUGGUUAAGAAUAUAGGCAACAGUUAAUAGGGCAUCUCCCCAACAAGAAAUGCAUAUUUUUACCUGGCGUUUUCAUUUUCCAAAACCACUCAAGGCUCCUGAGUUGUGGCUUCCAUCUUGCAAGGUUCAUCAGCCCUGCAUGCUUGUUUUUUGAGUGCCUUUUUUUAAGGCUUAUGCCCUUCACUUAGUGCGCCUCAUGACAUUAACAUCAGGGUGCUUGAAGUGUUAGCUCCUUAGACUAUGCUUUUUGGACUAAUCUUUUGCCAACCUCAGCUUUUUGGUUUGUCUUAGCUAAGAAGUCAUCAAAACACGUGAAGUGUAUUUUCAGUUAAACACAGUCUAACCCAUACAACGGGGAAGAUAUUUUAGAGAGGAGAACAAGCGAAGAGCUCAUGCAUGCCCUAGACUUUUGCUCCUUGCGACCCCAAGGAAAGUUGCAAAUUUUUGGUCGCACAUGAGACGUUUAAUUCACUUAUUUCGUUCCUUAUUUGGGUGAAACUAGAAACAAAUAGGGUUUGUUGCCUUUGGGUAGUUUGAANNN